CCUACGGGCGGCAGCAGUGGGGAAUAUUGGGCAAUGGGCGCUAGCCUGACCCAGCAACGCCGCGUGAAGGAAGAAGGCUCUCGGGUUGUAAACUUCUUUUAAGGGGGAAGAGCAGAAGACGGUACCCCUUGAAUAAGCCACGGCUAACGACGGGCCAGCAGCCGCGGGAAUACGUAGGUGGCAAGCGUUGUCCGGAUUUACUGGGUUUAAAGGGCGUGCAGCCGGGUAGACAAGUCAGUUGUGAAAUCCAGGGGCUCAACCCUUGAAUUGCAGUUGAAACUGUUUCCCUUGAGUGUCGGAGAGGUAGUCGGAAUUCCUUGUGUAGCGGUGAAAUGCGUAGAUAUAAGGAAGAACACCGGUUGCGAAGGCAGAUUACUGGACGGUAACUGACGGUGAGGCGCGAAAGCGUGGGGAGCAAACAGGAUUAGAUACCCCUGUAGUC
rnacentral:rRNA from 1 species